AGCGGCGGACGGGUGAGUAACGCGUGGGUAACCGUGCCUCAUACAGGGGGAUAACAGUUGGAAACGGACUGCUAAUACCGCAUAAGCGCACAGUACCGCAUGGUACGGUGUGAAAAACUCCGGUGGUAUGAGAUGGACCCGCGUCUGAUUAGGUAGUUGGUGGGUAACGGCCUACCAAGCCGACGAUCAGUAGCCGACCUGAGAGGGUGACCGGCCACAUUGGGACUGAGACACGGCCCAA
rnacentral:rRNA from 1 species